AGAGGACUGAGCUAGGAGCGCAAAGGUCUGGAGGAUGAAUGCAUUUGGAGUGGUCAGCAAGGGGUGCCCAGCUGCAACUUGAAAAAUUUUGCAAGAGGAGAGAAACUCCAUGAAACAAAAUACACAUGGAAAAAUCGCUCCUUUUUUUCAAAAUAUUUACAGCUUAACAUUUACAGGCCACCCAAAGUGUGGUGGUCAGCGGUCCGCAGCCUGCUGGCCCCAUGGUGAGGCGUCGGUGAUCAGAGGGCUGCGGGGACUGCGCGCAGGGCUCCUGGGGAGGGGGGGGGGGCAGGGCUUCUGCUGGCCUCUGUCCUGGUUAGUUUUGGCUCCAGGUACGUGGCUAUGGGACUGAUUACCACCAGAGCCAUCCGCCACGGAAACCACAGAAACGAGCUAACCUUUCCUCCCUCGAAGUAGAGAAAAGCAGGCUUGUGUACGGGUGGAGGGGGGCGGAGAGGGAUGUGGACAGAGAGGGAGGGGUGGUGUAAGAACUCUUGUAGUCAUAAGGCUCGCCAGUUGGUAGUUACUAGUAUUCCAGACGCUUCCUAAUGCCAGACAAAUGCCCGGAGCCCAGGCUUGUCUGGCUCAGAGAUCUAUUCAGCCGAUAGCAGCCCGGCCCUGGUGGGGAGAGCAGAUCUUUCAGGGAGCAGCCUCCAUGGCUAAUCAAACACAACAUUGUUCUCAGAAGGAAGAAUGGAAAGGUUUGUUUCAGGAGCAUAGCUUUUUUUUUUUUUUUUCCUUUUGAGGCACCCGAGUUAUUUUAACAAGUUGCUACAAAACUUGGGCUUCCUGAGGCGAGGCUGUCCUGCACAGUGCAUGUUCUGUCCCAAACUCCAGGGAGGGAGGGACCCGAAAAUUAGUCAUUAAAAAAAAAAAAAAAGCCCCAGGCACUUCAUGCCUGGAAAUGAUGUAAGACGCAGCCACUCCUCUGUUAGAACUACAACCAAACAAUGCUCGGCGAUCGCGGCAGCUGCUCUCCAAAUGUCAGCGCCAAGCCCGGCCAAAGGGCUGGAAGGCCACCGAGCCCAGGACUUUGUGCGCUACCUUUGUCGCCCACAUUUUCCCCAAGCACUCUCAGGACCCUGGCAACAGGUAACGUGGCAACCUUUGCCUUCUAAAACGGCAAGCGGCAGGAUUUCAGAGAACAAAAGGAUUUUUUGAAAGCCAGCUGCAUCUCCCUCGCCACCCCCUACCCCCCCCUCUCCCCCCCCCCCCCCCCCUCCCCCACCCCAAGUAUGAGAAAACAAAGUAUUGCUGCGGCAGCCCGGCUCUCGAGCGCCCCCUGAUGACCAAGCUCGGAACAUCACCGAUGUACCUUUCAAGGUACAACUUAAGUCCGAGGCUCCCAGAACAAGCCCCGCACUGCCUCCUGGUGUGGAUUACACUUUACUUUUCGAAAGGAACCAUGGAUAGUAAAGCGAAAUCAUUUUGAUUCUUUUGGAUUUCUACUGUCGUAGGUGAAAGGUUUUAUUCAUCAAUUCUUUGAAAAACCAGCUAUACCCACUGCAAACCUACCAAAUGAGAGGAUGUUAAGCUGUUCAGUGGGUUGUACGUUUGGGGCCUUGUUUGGAAUUUCAAGCUCAUGUUACGGGACUGGCCCGUGGUUGCAAUUUACACCGUUUAUCAGUAGGAUUGCUGAAGUGCUGAGGUGCCAGAAUGCGGAAACACUGGAGGAGACCCGCGCUGGUCUUUGGAUCAACAUUAAUUACCAAUAAAGAGUUAGGAAAUUGAUCACAGGGAAGGGAAGCAUGUUAAUGGCCACCGCUCAAAGGUUCAGCCCCGUUCAGUUACUGAUAACCUUGCGACGUCUCCAGAUAAAAGCCAGCCUUGUCACCCCCAGGCACCUGGCUGAGAGGUAAUAAAACUGUUGCCUUAUCUUCUAAGAGUGGAGUUGGUCCAACCUCAGUCCGAGGUAAUUACAGUAAACUGAAAUUGCCUGUCAUUUACAAAAAAGGGAAGGCGUAAGGCGGGAGAUGGUGUUUGUCUCUCUCCUUGGAUUUUAAAAAGAAAGCAAGCAAAACAGCCAGAAGUUUUCCAGGGAGUGAGAAAAACAGCCCGGCUUGGCCACCCUCUCCUGGGGGUAACGGAUUGCAGGCGGCUCAGGUCCCCGUGACGAUCUGAAAGAGAGGCUCACGCUGAUGAAAAUCCAAGCAAUCUUCUUAGUCUGUCCUUUCUAAAUGUAAAUGACAGAGUCGGAGCCCUGCUAGGGAGGGCAGGAAGUCUCAGUCUUACCCAGUGACUCAUUCAGUGCUGUUAGCUCCAGAAGCUGGAUAAAAAGUUUUAGCAAAAGCAGCAACAAAUCUACUUUAAAUACUAGCACAGUAAGGAAAUUCCUCUCUUUCAGGCCGAAUGCCAUCCACACAAUAGAGCUCCUGUCGACAUCUCAUUUACAAUCUACCCCCAGGACACAGACAGGACCAUUUCCAUAAACCCGGCUCAGAAACACCUAUUGUUCAAAAUCUUCAACUAGCCACAGGCUACCACCACUCCCUAUUGUUUUGUAAAAUAAAAGAUUUCGAAGGAGCCAGAUUGGGACCUGGAAGCUCUGAAAAGAGGAAGGAAAAAAGUCCCUUUGACCCGAUGCUGUUGGAGAACGUGCUUGAAGAAUAAAGUUAAUGGAUUUUCAUUUUUACAAGAAGUGCAUAAGCAACGCCCGCUCCCUUCCUGAACUCGUGAUCGGGGAUUCUGAAAGCAGUGCCAACGGGUUUGGUACCUGAAAAGUCAAAGGCUCUACUUACCCUAUUCUCUGUCUUACAAAAGCCCUGAUGGCAGCCACAGCAAAGCACCAGCCAGUAAGCCGGGUGUACCCCUGCUCCUGUGCAAAAGACCUGUGAAACUCUGAAGCUAUACUUGUACACAGAUGUGAUCCGAUGAUGCCAUCUCAUCUCCAUGGCAACCAGGUGUCUCAGUUAUCUAGUCUGGUGCCAGGGCAUCGGAGACCUGCCACCACCAUGCUGUUCCCCAUCACUCAGUUCCAAAUUUAUGAGAUUGCCUCAGUCCCUUAGGUAUUUGUUCUCUGAAAGGUAAAAAUGUAGCUAGUCUGAUAAAAUAAUGCAUUGGAGGAUGGCUGGGGGGCGGGGGACGGGGGAUUGCAUUUUUAAAAGAAUUCUUGCAAACAUUUCCUUCGUCCAGAGUAAUAAAUACCUGUUUAAAAAGAGGGUCUCUGACGAACUUAUGGUUAC